CUUUCGCACAAAUUGAAAGCCAAACACACCCGCGUUGAUGAGUUAAAUCGUCCUAUUCGGCAGCGUGAGGUUUUGCCCAGCGCCCUUUCUGGUGCGGCACUUCGGUGUCCGUGUCGUUCGGGGCGCAGAGCUUCGAUGAUCGCUCGGUAAAACGGAUAGAACGAAUUCUGAGUGGU
rnacentral:snoRNA from 2 species